rnacentral:rRNA from 1 species
AACUUUCAACAACGGAUCUCUUGGUUCCCGCAUCGAUGAAGAACGCAGCGAAACGCGAUAGUUAAUGUGAAUUGCAGAAUUCAGUGAAUCAUCGAGUCUUUGAACGCACAUUGCGCCCAUUGGUAUUCCUUUGGGCAUGUCUGUUUGAGCGUCAU